AAUAAUCUCAACCAUGAGUUUCCGUAUUCAACUUUAACCAUCCGUCUUAUUUAAAACUUAUUAUUAUUAUUAUUAUUAUUAUUAGAUUAUAAAGCAUGAAUAGUACUUUAUAUGUACUAAUGUUUUUUUAGAUUUUUCAAAAAAAUUUAAAUAAGACGGACGGCUAAAGUUGGAUAUGGAAACUCAUGGCUGGGCAUUUA
rfam:Oryza glumipatula chromosome 6, whole genome shotgun sequence.